AUUGAACGCUGGCGGCAUGCUUUACACAUGCAAGUCGAACGGUAACAGGCCGCAAGGUGCUGACGAGUGGCGAACGGGUGAGUAAUGCAUCGGAACGUGCCCAGUCGUGGGGGAUAACGCAGCGAAAGCUGUGCUAAUACCGCAUACGAUCUGUGGAUGAAAGCGGGGGACCGUAAGGCCUCGCGCGAUUGGAGCGGCCGAUGUCAGAUUAGGUAGUUGGUGGGGUAAAGGCUCACCAAGCCGACGAUCUGUAGCUGGUCUGAGAGGACGAACAGCCACACUGGGACUGAGACACGGCCCAGACUCCUACGGGAGGCAGCAGUGGGGAAUUUUGGACAAUGGGCGCAAGCCUGAUCCAGCAAUGCCGCGUGCAGGAAGAAGGCCUUCGGGUUGUAAACUGCUUUUGUACGGAGCGAAAAGGCUCUCUCUAAUACAGGGGGCUCAUGACGGUACCGUAAGAAUAAGCACCGGCUAACUACGUGCCAGCAGCCGCCGUAAUAC
rnacentral:rRNA from 1 species